UACGGAGGAUGCAAGCGUUAUCCGGAAUGAUUGGGCGUAAAGCGUCCGCAGGUGGCAAUGUAAGUCUGCUGUCAAAGCGUCUGGCUCAACCAGAUAAAGGCAGUGGAAACUACAUAGCUAGAGUAAGGUAGGGGUAGAGGGAAUUCCUGGUGUAGCGGUGAAAUGCAUAGAGAUCAGGAAGAACACCGGUGGCGAAAGCGCUCUGCUGGACCUUAACUGACACUGAGGGACGAAAGCUAGGGGAGCGAAUGGG
rnacentral:rRNA from 1 species